UACGGAGUUAGCCGAUCCUUAUUCCUUCGGUACAUUCAGCUAUCUACACGUAGAUAGGUUUAUUCCCGAAUAAAAGCAGUUUACAACCCAGAGGGCCGUCUUCCUGCACGCGGCAUGGCUGGUUCAGAGUUGCCUCCAUUGACCAAUAUUCCUUACUGCUGCCUCCCGUAGGAGUCUGGUCCGUGUCUCAGUACCAGUGUGGGGGGCCAUCCUCUCAGAUCCCCUAGCCAUCGUCGCCUUGGUGGGCCGUUACCCGCCAACUAGCUAAUGGCACGCAUGCCCAUCCUUCUCCCAUAAAUGUUUGACCACUGAACGAUGCCGUUCCGUGGUCUUAUGCGGUAUUAAUCCGAAUUUCUUCGGGCUAUCCCCCAGAAAGGGUAGGUUGCAUACGCGUUACGCACCCGUGCGCCGGUCUCAAUGGAGCAAGCUCCAUCUACCCUCGACUUGCAUGUAUUAGGCCUGCCGCUAGCGUUCAUCCUGAGCCAGGCACAACU
rnacentral:rRNA from 1 species